UCGAGAAUCUUCCGCAAUGCGCGCAAGCGUGACGGAGCGACGCCGCGUGGGCGAUGAAGGCCUUCGGGUUGUAAAGCCCUGUUUCCCACUAAGAAUGGCAGUCGGUGAAUAGCCGUGCUGCUUGACGUCAGUGGGGGAGGAAGCACCGGCUAAAUACGUGCCAGCAGCCGCGGUAAUACGUAUGGUGCGAACGUUGUUCGGAAUCACUGGGCAUAAAGAGCACGUAGGCGGUCCGGUAAGUCUGUGUGUGAAAUCCCUCGGCUUAACCGAGGAAUUGCACCGGAUACUGCCGGACUAGAGUGCAGGAGGGGAGAGUGGAAUUCCUGGUGGAGCGGUGAAAUGCGUAGAUAUCAGGAGGAACGCCGGUGGCGAAAGCGACUCUCUGGUCUGCAACUGACGCUGAGGUGCGAAAGCCAGGGGAGCGAACGGGAUUAGAUACCCCCGUAGUCC
rnacentral:rRNA from 1 species